rnacentral:lncRNA from 1 species
CCUAUUUUUUUUUUCUUUUUCAGUUUAUCAUUCUCUAAAGUCGAAACCAUCGUCGUGGUUAUCAUCAACUGAACUGAACAUGUUUGGCCGUGAUCAGUUAUUGAAAGCAAAAAAGAAACAAAUAUGUUUUUCUUUCAAUUUUAAAACACUCUGAAACAGAGCCUCUCGAACAUUCAAAUCUUUAUCAAGUAAGCCUUACAGACAGCACUUAACCAUAACUAUAUCGUUAUCUCAUCCGUUAUGCUUUUCUUUUUCUUACAUUCAAUUCCCACACUUCUUCAUUUCUCUUACCUCCAACCAUUUACUUCAACUCUCUUCUUUCCUUCUUUCUUAUUGUUUAGGGUUUUGUAGGCGAUUUAGGAACGUUUUGGGCAUUGAUUGUUGUUGGGAUUUCACCGGAUUGAAAAUCAAAUUUUGGGGUUUUUAUAUUUUCUGGGAAUUUAAUUUAUGGGCUGGUGGAGAUUUCAAUUCUUAAAAAUUGAGAGGUUUUGGGGAUUGAUUUCAGGCUGUUGAUUGCUGGGCGUAUUGGGAAAUUGGAGCAACUCGGCUGAAAUCUUUUUCCUUCUUUUGUGUGACUUGGCUUUUGAGCUGAAUUUUGCUGAAUUCAUUUGAAACUAAGAGGCUAGGAUCUCUUUGUUUUGCUUCUUUUACAUGCUCCUCAG